rnacentral:rRNA from 1 species
GCGAACGCUGGCGGCAGGCUUAACACCUGCAAGUCGAGCGGGCCCUUCGGGGUCAGCGGCAGACGGGUGAGUAACGCGUGGGAACGUGCCCUUCGGUUCGGAAUAACUCAGGGAAACUUGAGCUAAUACCGGAUACGCCCUUAUGGGGAAAGGCUUGCUGCCGAAGGAUCGGCCCGCGUCUGAUUAGCUAGUUGGUGAGGUUAUGGCUCACCAAGGCGACGAUCAGUAGCUGGUCUGAGAGGAUGAUCAGCCACACUGGGACUGAGACACGGCCCAGACUCCUACGGGAGGCAGCAGUGGGGAAUAUUGGACAAUGGGGGCAACCCUGAUCCAGCCAUGCCGCGUGAGUGAUGACGGCCUUAGGGUUGUAAAGCUCUUUUCUCCGGGACGAUAAUGACGGUACCGGAGGAAUAAGCCCCGGCUAACUUCGUG